rnacentral:tRNA from 1 species
AGCUGAAAAAGUUUGUAGAGCGCUCCACUGGAAAUGGAGAGAUCCCGGGUUCGAUACCCGG